GAUGAACGCUGGCGGCGUGCCUAAUACAUGCAAGUCGAGCGGUAAGGCUCUCACAGGUUAUUUGAUCUAGCCAGGUCGCGACUACAAAGCAGUCGCAUCAUUCACGAAGAAUGACGAUCUGGCACCAAGCUUUAACAGAUAAGGCGAGAUCGAGUAACGUGUGAGAGUACACGAGCGGCGGACGGCUGAGUAACACGUAGGAACGUACCCCAAACNGAGGGAUAAGCACCAGAAAUGGUGUCUAAUACCGCAUGUGCUCUUCGGAGUAAAGCUACGGCGGUUUGGGAACGGCCUGCGCAUGAUUAGCUUGUUGGUGAGGUAAAAGCUCACCAAGGCGACGAUCAUUAGCUGGUCUGAGAGGAUGAUCAGCC
rnacentral:rRNA from 1 species